rnacentral:lncRNA from 1 species
GCCACACCCCGACAAGCACCCAUCUUUUCCAGAUGCCAAAUAUAUCUACUGAUUUUAACAAUUUUCUUUCUUUCUGUGAAUUAAAAUACUUUUACUAGCUCUCUGUUCUUGGCUGAGUUAAUUUACUUCUCUGAAUUUAGUUUAUUUUUCAAUAGAAAUGGGGAAAAUAAUUCCUAUUCCAUAUGUGGUUGUCAUAGCAUUAAAUAAAGUCUGAUGUCUUGCACAAAGUAGAUGCACAAAAAGUAAUUCAUUCUUUUUGAAAUGCAUAUAAUAGCUAUAAUAUUUGAAAUAACUAUGUCAUGCUUGAGUUAAAGAUGAGUAUGGUAAAAAAGGUGUUAAAACUGUAAAACAAUAUAUGAAGGUAGCCUCAUCUAUCCUCCAUGGGGCACAUGUGCAUUGGGUGACUCAAAUUUUUCACCAUUCUUUGGAUGUCUGCAAAGAUGUCACAAGUAUUGAUUUCAGGGUUA